UACGGGGGGGGCAAGCGUUGUUCGGAAUUACUGGGCGUAAAGGGCUCGUAGGCGGCCAACUAAGUCAGACGUGAAAUCCCUCGGCUUAACCGGGGAACUGCGUCUGAUACUGGAUGGCUUGAGUGUGGGAGAGGGAUGCGGAAUUCCAGGUGUAGCGGUGAAAUGCGUAGAUAUCUGGAGGAACACCGGUGGCGAAGGCGGCAUCCUGGACCACGACUGACGUUGAGGAGCGAAAGCCAGGGGAGCAAACGGG
rnacentral:rRNA from 1 species